ACUAAACCUAAUUCUUCAGUUGCAUAAGGAAUGAAGAUGACAGAACAGAGACAUUAGGGAAUGACAAAUCUUUGGAGCUUUAAUGAUGCCACUGCUUAAUUGGAGUUUGAGCCAUACAAGGAGGAACAACUAACCUGGAAUUAAUGGUACAUCUUUGGAAAGGCCAUUGUAGUUGGAGCUUUAACUAGACAAAAGAGGAGGAACAAAGAUAGUGCUGUUGAAUAUUGCAGUGAAAUUUUCAAUUAUGGAGUUUGGAGUUUUCAAUGCAUUACCACAAAAAAGUUGAGGGGUUUCAAGUUAAGAGUUCAUAAAAAAGUUUCCAGAUUUGGUUUUCAAUUCAUGUCUUGGAAUUCAAUUUUAAGCAAUCAAAUGAUAGUUAGAGAUUUCAAUUUUAAGCAAUCAAAUGAUAGUUAGAGAUUUUAGAAUGAAAUUGCUGAUUGCAUGGCUGAAACUUCUACUGUUGAAUUCAUAAGUUUACAAUUGUUUGAAGAAUCUCCAAUAUCAAUAAAGGGUAUAUUGCUGGCUGA